rnacentral:pre_miRNA from 1 species
ACAUAGAAAAGGCAGUCUGCAUUUAUUCUGGAGCUGCAGUUUGUCUCUUCUUUGUCU